UACGUAGGGUGCGAGCGUUGUCCGGAAUUACUGGGCGUAAAGAGCUCGUAGGUGGUUUGUCGCGUUGUUCGUGAAAACCGGGGGCUUAACCCUCGGCGUGCGGGCGAUACGGGCAGACUUGAGUACUGCAGGGGAGACUGGAAUUCCUGGUGUAGCGGUGGAAUGCGCAGAUAUCAGGAGGAACACCGGUGGCGAAGGCGGGUCUCUGGGCUGAUACUGACACUGAGGAGCGAAAGCGUGGGGAGCGAACAGG
rnacentral:rRNA from 1 species